CUAUGGCAUUGAAGCAAGAGGUUGCGACACACCCGGGAGCAUUGCCAAGCCCGAAAUGUUGGUUUUCUUGUGGAGCUAGCCUAUUCAAGACAAUAGACGA
rfam:Streptococcus sp. DF1 DF1_Contig11, whole genome shotgun sequence.